rfam:Dipodomys ordii contig_52079, whole genome shotgun sequence.
GGGAAGGUGGCUCAGUAGUAGAGUACUUGCUUUGCAUGCAUGAGACCCUAGGUUUGAAUCCUCAGUACCA